rnacentral:rRNA from 1 species
GACGAACGCUGGCGGCGUGCCUAAUACAUGCAAGUAGAACGCUGAAGGAGGAGCUUGCUUCUCUGGAUGAGUUGCGAACGGGUGAGUAACGCGUAGGUAACCUGCCUGGUAGCGGGGGAUAACUAUUGGAAACGAUAGCUAAUACCGCAUAAUAGUAGAUGUUGCAUGACAUUUGCUUAAAAGGUGCAAUUGCAUCACUACUAGAUGGACCUGCGUUGUAUUAGCUAGUUGGUGGGGUAACGGCUCACCAAGGCGACGAUACAUAGCCGACCUGAGAGGGGGGUCGGCCACACUGGGACUGGGAAACGGCCCAGACUCCUACGGGAGGCAGCAGUAGGGAAUCUUCGGCAAUGGACGGAAGGCUGACCGAGCAACGCCGCGGGAGUGAAGAAGGGUUUCGGAUCGUAAAGCUCUGUUGUAAGGGAAGAACGAGUGUGAGAGUGGAAAGUUCACACUGUGACGGUAUCUUACCAGAAAGGGACGGCUAACUACGUG